rnacentral:rRNA from 1 species
CCUACGGGUGGCAGCAGUGGGGAAUAUUGCACAAUGGGCGCAAGCCUGAUGCAGCCAUGCCGCGUGUGUGAAGAAGGCCUUCGGGUUGUGAAGCACUUUCAGCGGGGAGGAAGGCGUUGAGGUUAAUAACCUCAUCGAUUGACGUUACCCGCAGAAGAAGCACCGGCUAACUCCGUGCCAGCAGCCGCGGUAAUACGGAGGGUGCAAGCGUUAAUCGGAAUUACUGGGCGUAAAGCGCACGCAGGCGGUCUGUCAAGUCGGAUGUGAAAUCCCCGGGCUCAACCUGGGAACUGCAUUCGAAACUGGCAGGCUAGAGUCUUGUAGAGGGGGGUAGAAUUCCAGGUGUAGCGGUGAAAGGCGUAGAGAUCUGGAGGAAUACCGGUGGCGAAGGCGGCCCCCUGGACAAAGACUGACGCUCAGGUGCGAAAGCGUGGGGAGCAAACAGGAUUAGAUACCCCUGUAGUC